UGGUGGAGUGAUUUGUCUGGUUAAUUCCGAUGACGAACGAGACCUUAACCUGCUAAAUAGCCCGGCUGGCUUUGGCUGGUCGCUGGCUUCUUAGAGGGACUAUCUGUGUUUAGCAGAUGGAAGUUUGAGGCAAUAACA
rnacentral:rRNA from 1 species